AACGAACGCUGGCGGCAUGCCUAACACAUGCAAGUCGAACGAGACCUUCGGGUCUAGUGGCGCACGGGUGCGUAACGCGUGGGAACCUGCCCUUAGGUUCGGAAUAACUCCCCGAAAGGGGUGCUAAUACCGGAUAAUGUCUUCGGACCAAAGAUUUAUCGCCUUUGGAUGGGCCCGCGUUGGAUUAGCUAGUUGGUAGGGUAAAAGCCUACCAAGGCGACGAUCCAUAGCUGGUCUGAGAGGAUGAUCAGCCACACUGGGACUGAGACACGGCCCAGACUCCUACGGGAGGCAGCAGUGGGGAAUAUUGGACAAUGGGCGAAAGCCUGAUCCAGCAAGGCCGCGUGAGUGAUGAAGGCCUUAGGGUUGUAAAGCUCUUUUACCAGGGAUGAUAAUGACAGUACCGGGAGAAUAAGCUCCGGCUAACUCCGUG
rnacentral:rRNA from 1 species